rnacentral:lncRNA from 1 species
UCGUUACAGAUUGGUAUCAGAGCCCUAGGUUCACAUGAUCGGACCUAUAGAGACAAUGUCAGGCGCAUAGAGGUUAAAAGUGGUCAAGCACAAUAGGAAAUCAUGUCCACUAGGAUAGGGUUUUGAGUCCUAUCUGUGAUAUGCCAUGAGUUAUGCAUGUGCUUUAUUGAUGUUUAUGUGCUAAAGUGCUAUGUUAUGUGUUGUUUUCCAGCGAGUAAAGAUGAGAGGAACUCGUCGAUCAGCUCG